rnacentral:rRNA from 1 species
AAUAGAUACCCAGGUAGUCCACGCCGUAAACGAUGAGUGCUAAGUGUUAGGGGGUUUCCGCCCCUUAGUGCUGCAGCUAACGCAUUAAGCACUCCGCCUGGGGAGUACGGUCGCAAGACUGAAACUCAAAGGAAUUGACGGGGGCCCGCACAAGCGGUGGAGCAUGUGGUUUAAUUCGAAGCAACGCGAAGAACCUUACCAGGUCUUGACAUCCCAUUGACCACUAUGGAGACAUAGUUUUCCCUUCGGGGACAACGGUGACAGGUGGUGCAUGGUUGUCGUCAGCUCGUGUCGUGAGAUGUUGGGUUAAGUCCCGCAACGAGCGCAACCCUUGUUCUUAGUUGCCAUCAUUUAGUUGGGCACUCUAAGGAGGCUGCCGGUGACAAACCGGAGGAAGGUGGGGAUGACGUCAAAUCAUCAUGCCCCUUAUGACCUGGGCUACACACGUGCUACAAUGGACGGUACAAACGGUUGCCAACCCGCGAGGGGGAGCUAAUCCGAUAAAACCGUUCUCAGUUCGGAUUGUAGGCUGCAACUCGCCUACA